AUGGUGAUUGGGUAUUUCAACCUAAUCACAGACCCUAGGGACAAAAACAAUGACCGUAUCUGUCGCCGCUGGAUGAAAAAGUUUCAUCGAACCUUGAACAAUUCAAACGUGCAUGAGUUACCUCUGAUCGGUAGGAAAUACACUUGGAGCAACGAGCAAGACUCGCCGACCCUGGUGCGGCUAGACCGUGCUUUUUGCAAUGUAGACUGGGAGCUGAUGUUUCCGGCGGCCAAGCUUCUUCCUCAAGCAUCGUCAAUCUCCGACCAUUGUCCGCUGCUCCUUCGCAAUGACACAAUUCUGAAAACCAACAGACGGUUCAUAUUUGAAUCUUAUUGGCUGUUCAUUGAUGGAUUUAAAGAGAUAGUAGAGCAAUCCUGGGCUGCGCCUACCGGCAGUAGAUGCCCAAUCGCCUAUCUGAAUUCGAGGUUAUGGCAGUUAAGCAAGGCGCAGCGGGCGUGGAGCAAAGCCGCCGUUGGUGACAUUAGGAUGCAGAUGCUGGUGGCAAAUGAGAUCACUUUGCAACUCAACGCAGCGCAAGAUCAUAGGCCUCUAUCAGCGGCCGAGAGGAGUUUACGCACUGCGCUUAAAUCAAGAUCUCUUGGGAUGGCUGUGCUCUUAAAGAUCAAGCUCCGGCAGAGGAGUCGUGUGCUCUGGCUAAGGGCAGGUGAUGCCAACAUGCGCUUCUUCCAGCGGAAGGCGAACACCAGACAUAAUAGGAACACUAUUCACAUCCUUCAUGGGCCGAACGGCGCCUUCUCCAACUGCUCUGCGAUGGCGGAUCUCGCCCAUCAGCACUUCCUGAACCUUUUUGGCAAUACACAGAGAAUUACUUCUAGGCUCGACUAG
rnacentral:rRNA from 1 species